UCCAGAUUCAACAACGUUGGAU
rnacentral:misc_RNA from 1 species